CCUACGGGUGGCUGCAGUGAGGAAUAUUGGUCAAUGGCCGAGAGGCUGAACCAGCCAAGUCGCGUGAGGGACGACGGCCCUACGGGUUGUAAACUUCUUUUGUCGGGGGGCAAAAUCAGUCACGUGAGCCUGAUUGAGGGUACCCGAAGAAAAAGCAUCGGCUAACUCCGUGCCAGCAGCCGCGGUAAUACGGCGGAUGCGAGCGUUAUCCGGAUUUAUUGGGUUUAAAGGGUGCGCAGGCGGAGUGGUAAGUCAGCGGUCAAAUUCCGGGGCGCAACCCCGUAGUGCCGUUGAAACUGGAUGCCUUGAGAGGGCGAGAGGUAUGCGGAAUGCGCGGUGUAGCGGUGAAAGGCAUAGAUAUUGCGCAGAACUCCGAUUGCGAAGGCAGCAUACCGGCGCGCAACUGACGCUCAUGCACGAAAGCGUGGGUAUCGAACAGGAGUAGAUACCCCUGUAGUC
rnacentral:rRNA from 1 species